AACAUGUUUUUGAAUUCAGUUUAACAGUAUAUUACUGGGAAGGGGGGGGAAAUGAGAGAUUUUUAAAACUGGAACUUUCAUGUUAGCUAAAACUGUUAGUAAUAGCUUAUUUUUUAAAAAAACCACAACCCCCACCACCCCGUGCCCCCAGUCUGCAUUCAUGGAAACCAAAUCACAGAUGAAGAUCCUGGUGAGUCUGAGAUUGGGCAUCAGCCCCAGGGUGCUUGGAAACUGUCGCGGAUAUAACCAGAGGCAGAGAGGACAAGGGAGCAGGAAACCUCAGCCUCCAGCCAUGGAGGUGUCCCUACUGCACAGGAAAACGGGGCUCCACAGGUUCUCCUCAGACACCAAGAGAAAAACCUUCCAUCUAGUCUGCAAAACAAGCGCUCCUCGUUCUGACUUUUUAACUUUCUGUUUUCUUGUUUGCACUUUGAAGCCCUCACUACCCGCUCCACACACACACCCCAACCCUGAACUCUGGGGGGCUGGGGAAGGCAAGAAAUACAAAC
rnacentral:lncRNA from 1 species